rnacentral:misc_RNA from 1 species
GAUGAAGAACGUAGCGAAAUGCGAUAAGUAAUGUGAAUUGCAGAAUUCAGUGAAUCAUCGAAUCUUUGAACGCACCUUGCGCCCUUUGGCCAUUCCGAAGGGCAUGCCUGUUUGAGUAUCAUGAACACCUCAACUCUUGUGGUUUCCCACAAUGAGCUUGGACUGUGGAGGUUUUGUUGGCCCUGUGGUCAGCUCCUCUCAAAUGGAUCAGCUUACCGGUGUUUGGUGGCAUUACGGGUGUGAUAACUAUCUACGCUCGUGGUCGUCUCCAAAUAACCUCCAGUGAUGGAGGUUCGCUGGAGCUUAUAAAUGUCUCUCCCCAGUGAAGACAGCCUUUGAACGUUCGAUCUCAAAUCAGGUAGGACUACCCGCUGAACUUAAGCAUAUCAAUAAGCGGAGGA